UACGUAGGGUGCGAGCGUUGUCCGGAUUUAUUGGGCGUAAAGAGCUCGUAGGCGGUUUGUCGCGUCGGCCGUGAAAUCUCCACGCUUAACGUGGAGCGUGCGGUCGAUACGGGCAGACUUGAGUACUGCAGGGGAGACUGGAAUUCCUGGUGUAGCGGUGGAAUGCGUAGAGAGUCCGGAGGAACCCCAGAGGCGAAGGCGGCGCCCUGGCUCGCAACUGACGCUCAGACACGACAGCAUGGGGAGCGAACGGGG
rnacentral:rRNA from 1 species